AUUGAACGCUGGCGGCGGGCCUAACACAUGCAAGUCGAACGGCAGCGCGGGAGCUUGCUCCUGGUGGCGAGUGGCGGACGGGUGAGUAAUGUAUGGGGAUCUGCCUGAUGGAGGGGGAUAACAACUGGAAACGGUUGCUAAUACCGCGUAAUGUCGCAAGACCAAAGAGGGGGACCUUCGGGCCUCUUGCCAUCAGAUGAACCCAUAUGGGAUUAGCUAGUAGGUGAGGUAAUGGCUCACCUAGGCGACGAUCCCUAGCUGGUCUGAGAGGAUGACCAGCCACACUGGAACUGAGAGACGGUCCAGACUCCUACGGGAGGCAGCAGUGGGGAAUAUUGCACAAUGGGGGAAACCCUGAUGCAGCCAUGCAGAGUGUGUGAAGAAGGCCUUAGGGUUGUAAAGCACUUUCAGUCGGGAGGAAGGUAAUAAAGAUAAUACCUUUAUUAAUUGACGUUACUGACAGAAGAAGCACCGGCUAACUCCGUGCCAGCAGCCGCGGUAA
rnacentral:rRNA from 1 species